rnacentral:rRNA from 1 species
UACGUAGGGUCCGAGCGUUGUCCGGAAUUAUUGGGCGUAAAGGGCUCGUAGGCGGUUUGUCGCGUCGGGAGUGAAAACACGGGGCUUAACCCCGUGCCUGCUUCCGAUACGGGCAGACUAGAGGUAUGCAGGGGAGAACGGAAUUCCUGGUGUAGCGGUGAAAUGCGCAGAUAUCAGGAGGAACACCGGUGGCGAAGGCGGUGCUCUGGGCAUUACCUGACGCUGAGGAGCGAAAGUGUGGGGAGCGAACAGG